CUCCGGGGUAAAUGACGAAAAAAAAAAAUCUGCCCGUCCAUAGAUAGGAUGGGAGCAAGAGGAAAAAUGGCCAUUUUGAGAAAAUGGAGAAGAUUGAUACAGUAUGUUUGUGUCUUGUUUUGUCUUGAAAUGUUGUAUUGUCUUUGUGACGAAAAUAUGGAAGGGGUGAGAAGUAAAUUACUAAGGGAAGAAGGCACCCCAGUGGAACCAAGAAUAGUUAGGGCAUGUGUUGACAGAAGCCCAGGAACUCUAGUCAGAAAGAAGAAAGUUCAGAGGAGAAAGGAUUAUCAGGAAAAAAGUUGCAGCAAAAGGCUAUUACUGAAUACUUUUUGUUACCGGAGGGUGCGUGAAUCGCCGCAGCGGCUGCCACGUGCGCGAGCCAGUCAUGGUGCAGCAAGGACUUUCCAAGCGGCAGCAGCCGGCUCUUCCACUGCCGGGAGCCCAAAUCUAGACCUGACUUGGAGGCACAGCCUCGCGGGCUCUUGCUCCCUGUGCCCGGAAGCAGUUUGAGUCCAGGACACUCCCCAGGGCCAUCUGGGGCUGCCCUGGACGCUACAGCCGGCAAAAGACGCUACCAGCGUCCCUGAUGUUUGGUCAUUUUCAAUGCCAAUAACUAAGCUACAAUGGUUCUCCUACACCUGGAGGCUAAUGAGUAAUGAGCGCCACUAAGGCCUAUUUCAAAUGUACUAAAUUGUUCAGAAGGUUAUUUUCUUAGUGGAAUACUACAGGAUUUUCUUUAGCCAUCCGGAGUCCCUGCCUUCGUCCCAGUGCCGGUGAGGACGAGGAUGGAAGAAUUUCCAGUGUUGCUGAGAACCGGACAAGACUUCGGAUCUUACCUGCCUGCAGAACUUACCUGGACUGUGAUUUAAGCUAGCUGCCUGCAGAACUUACCUGGACUGUGAUUUACCUGGACUGUGAGUUAAUCUAUUGAGACACUGCUUUACCUGGACUGAGACAACAAACUGUAAUCUACAACAAAUUGUAACUCGGUAUCUUUGAAAACGGUGUCAUUGCUGGUAUAAUUUUUCCAAGGGCUUCUUGCAUGGAGCCAUCAAUUGGCUUGGUAUUGUGGCAUUUUGUAUCCUCCCCUUCUGCUUGUAGCAGAUUACUUAUGGUGUUUGUGUAAAAACCACUAUGGUCAUUAUUUAAAUUAAACAAAAGGGGGAAAUGUUAGAGUCUGUAAACAAGUCAAGAUGGCGCCUGGCAUUUUGCAGAGGGAGUGGUUUGUGAAGUAACGCCAGUGAGCCAUUAAGUGUGGAGAUUCCUUAUUGGUUGACUGCUGUAUCUAGUUUAUGUUAAUUAAGAUAAGCUUGUGGAAUGUAU
rnacentral:lncRNA from 1 species